UUUAGUUAUUGGAUUUCUCCUCAGACGACACUGAUGACGGGGUUUGGAAGGCCUCCGGCGGGGCCGCGGGAAGGCGCCCGGGGUGAAUGCCCGGGACCACCGGCGCGGACCGCGCGCCGAAGCAACAACGGUGGGUACGCACAGGGUGAAGAGUGGGGGCCGAAGCCCCCCGGGGACGCGAGGUCCUCCUCUCGGUAAUGAUCCUUCCGCAGGUUCACCUACGGAAA
rnacentral:misc_RNA from 1 species